rnacentral:tRNA from 1 species
GGGGAUUUAGCUUAGCGGUAGAGCGCUUGCCUAGCAAGCACAAGGCCCUGGGUUCGGUCCCCAGCUCUG